GUGCACUCGCUUUGGCAGCACGUGUAUUAAGAUGGGAACAAUGCAGAGAAAACUAGCAUGGCCCCUGUGCAAGGAAGACAAGCAAAAGAAGUAUGGCUGU
rnacentral:snRNA from 1 species